rnacentral:rRNA from 1 species
AUUGAACGCUGGCGGCAGGCCUAACACAUGCAAGUCGAGCGGAUGAAGGGAGCUUUCUCCUGGAUUCAGCGGCGGACGGGUGGGUAAUGCCUAGGAAUCUGCCUGGUAGUGGGGGAUAAGGUCCGGAAACGGGCCCUAAUACCGCAUACGUCCUGAGGGAGAAAGUGGGGGAUCUUCGGACCUCACGCUAUCAGAUGAGCCUAGGUCGGAUUAGCUAGUUGGUGGGGUACAGGCCUACCAAGGCGACGAUCCGUAACUGGUCUGAGAGGAUGAUCAGUCACACUGGGACUGAGACACGGUCCAGACUCCUACGGGAGGCAGCAGUGGGGAAUAUUCGACAAUGGGCGAAAGCCUGAUCCAGCCAUGCCGCGUGUGUGAAGAAGGUCUUCGGAUUGUAAAGCACUUUAAGUUGGGAGGGAGGACAGUAAGUUAAUACAUGGCUGUCUUGACGUUACCAAAAGAAUAAGCAACGGCUAACUUCGUG